rnacentral:rRNA from 1 species
GGAGGGAAUAUUGGUUAAUGGGCGAAAGCGCGAACCAGCAACGCCGCGUGCGCGAUGAAGGCCUUCGGGUUGUAAAGCGCUUUUUGAGGGAAUGAGAAAGGACAGUACCCUCAGAAUAAGCCUCGGCUAACUACGUGCCAGCAGCCGCGGUAAUACGUAGGAGGCAAGCGUUAUCCGGAUUCACUGGGCGUAAAGCGCGUGUAGGCGGUUCGGUAAGUUGGAUGUGAAAGCUCCCGGCUAAACUGGGAGAGGUCGUUCAAUACUGCCGGGCUAGAGGAUGGGAGAGGGAGGUGGAAUUCCGAGUGUAGUGGUGAAAUGCGUAGAUAUUCGGAGGAACACCAGUGGCGAAAGCGGCCUCCUGGCCCAUAUCUGACGCUCAGACGCGAAAGCUAGGGGAGCGAACGGGAUUAGAUACCCGUGUAGUCC